GAUGAACGCUAGCGGGAGGCUUAACACAUGCAAGUCGAGGGGCAUCACGAGGUAGCAAUACUUUGGUGGCGACCGGCGCACGGGUGAGUAACACGUAUGCAACCUUCCCUGUACAGGGGGAUAACCCGGAGAAAUUCGGACUAAUACCCCAUGAUGAUAUUAUGGGGCAUCCUUUAAUAUUUAAAGCUCUGGCGGUACAGGAUGGGCAUGCGCGACAUUAGCUAGUUGGUAAGGUAACGGCUUACCAAGGCGACGAUGUUUAGGGGACCUGAGAGGGUUGUCCCCCACACUGGUACUGAGACACGGACCAGACUCCUACGGGAGGCAGCAGUGAGGAAUAUUGGUCAAUGGGCGAGAGCCUGAACCAGCCAAGUCGCGUGAAGGAUGAAGGUUUUAUGAAUUGUAAACUUCUUUUGCAGGGGAAUAAAGUGUCCGACGUGUCGGAUUUUGUAUGUACUCUGCGAAUAAGGAUCGGCUAACUCCGUG
rnacentral:rRNA from 1 species